CGUAGGGUGCGAGCGUUAAUCGGAAUUACUGGGCGUAAAGCGUGCGCAGGCGGUUCGUUAAGUCAGAUGUGAAAGCCCCGGGCUCAACCUGGGAACUGCAUUUGAAACUGGCGGGCUUGAGUAUGGCAGAGGGGGGUGGAAUUCCGCGUGUAGCAGUGAAAUGCGUAGAGAUGCGGAGGAACACCGAUGGCGAAGGCAGCCCCCUGGGCCACUACUGACGCUCAGGCACGAAAGCGUGGGGAGCAAACAGG
rnacentral:rRNA from 1 species